rnacentral:misc_RNA from 1 species
GUCUUUUUACCCAGUUCCACAUGUUCCCAUUUUGGCAAUGGACUAAUAGGGAUGGGCAUGGUUUUAUCUAUUCCAAAUUUCCCUACUUGAUUAUGGGACUUGUUUUGCUACAAAUAGGGGUGCGUGCGGCGAAACCACAUCAAAACUAGCCCCAAACAAUCUAUGAAUAAGCAUACAUUCGAUGUAGAACCAAAAGAAUUUUAUCUUCCACAUGCUCAGGCUACUGAGAUCAAUUUAAAAUUUCAAGAGUGAAAUCCAUGAGUUAAGAUAACUUCUGUGAUAAAAUGUUCCUACAUACAAUGCAUCAAAUAUUUCUGAAACAAAUGCACUGCCCUGCAAAAAGAAAAGGCUUCUAGUCCUUCCCAAAAUCAGUGUUAUAAUGUGCACUUGAUUCAAGUUUCUU